ACAACAGUUCAUCUCUCUCAGGCUGAGCUCGCCUGCUGUUUGUUGUCAGCAUGUGUUCAGUAGGUAGUGGUGUUCUGGUUGUGCCAUUACAGUGUGUGACAGCACAGUUUUUGGGAAGCUGUUGCAGAUGCUGAUCAAGGCUGGUGUGUUACAUAACCUUAACAAAGUCUUAGGCCAGGGAUAUGCUGUAGUUCACAAACACAGUAGAAUGUGAGCACACUCCCAUUGCACAUACAUAACAUUAAGCUUUAUAAUCGUUAAGUUUAUCCAUCCGGGAAUAUCCAUGUAUUGUAUGUGUCACCCCAUGUAUAGGCGUCCUAGUUAAACCUCUGAUGGUAAAUUUUCCAAUGACUUAAAUGUCAUUUAAAGUGGCAUGAGUCAUUACAGAAGGUUGCCUUCUCAGAUGUUUUGUUCAUUCUUGAUCUGAAAUGCCUGUGUCAUUUAGUAUUGAGUUUAAACCCUGUCAUUUACUGGCCACUGUCUUUACAAAGUAUUCACGUUUUCCAAAUGAUGGGUAUUUAUUUUGAAUCCUAAAUGCUGCAUGUUACAGAGAUUGAUUCUGUGUUGCCAAUUAAAAGAACUUACACUGUAUUUCUCUUUCUUUUUUCCUUUUGAAGCUGGACGAGGUGGAAACCAGGAUGCCAGAUGUGAUGCUUCACAGAUUUUCAAGGUCGUGUCUGAAGAGACGUGUGGAUGAGUGUGACACCGCUGAUUUCUCCACAUCAUGGAUUAUCAGAGAUAUCUGGAGAUGCUCGUUUCAUAAGUGGAUUUAAGACAUUUCCUUGUACUAUGCUUUGACUGCAGAUACUGGAUUACUCGGACUGUUUUCUACUUUACGUCAUUUGUUUUCUUCUGAUUGGUCAGUACGAUGUUCCAGUCAUGAUGCUCUAUCGAUCUAAUAAAAAUAGUUUUAUUAUAAAUAGUGCUAGUAUU
ensembl:lncRNA